UACGGGGGGGGCAAGCGUUGUUCGGAAUUACUGGGCGUAAAGGGCUCGUAGGCGGCCAACUAAGUCCGACGUGAAAUCCCCAGCUUAACCUGGGAACUGCGUCGGAUACUGGAUGGCUUGAAUUCGGGGAGAGGGAUGCAGAAUUCCAGGUGUAGCGGUGAAAUGCGUAGAUAUCUGGAGGAAUACCGGUGGCGAAGGCGGCAUCCUGGACCGACAUUGACGCUGAUGAGCGAAAGCUAGGGGAGCAAACGGG
rnacentral:rRNA from 1 species